UACGAAGGGGGCUAGCGUUGCUCGGAAUCACUGGGCGUAAAGCGCGCGUAGGCGGAUUGUUAAGUCAGGGGUGAAAUCCUGGAGCUCAACUCCAGAACUGCCUUUGAUACUGGCGAUCUCGAGUCCGGGAGAGGUGAGUGGAACUGCGAGUGUAGAGGUGAAAUUCGUAGAUAUUCGCAAGAACACCAGUGGCGAAGGCGGCUCACUGGCCCGGUACUGACGCUGAGGUGCGAAAGCGUGGGGAGCAA
rnacentral:rRNA from 1 species